UGUGGCCCAUUAUUACAGCGCGCUUCCUGCUUCUCAGGAUAGAUAUGGAUAGGGAAAAGGGACACAUGAGAAGUUCUAACUCAUAUAGGAAAUGUGGAUGGUGAAAAGGAACAAAUUAGCCUCGAGUUAAAUAUUACUUCGCAUCACAUCAUGGAUCCAGCAGAAGAGCCGGACUGGCGACAGGCUAUCAUGGCACAUGGACAGCUGAUGGGAGAGCAGCUGCAGCGUUUAGCUGACCUGGAUGCUAAAGUCAACAUGCUCUCACAAGCUCUCACCUCCACCACCGCGCUCCGUGCUCCUACCCCGGCUCCGGUACCCAGUACACCAAUGCCAUUGCCGGACAAGUUUUCUUGUGAUGUCUCACUAUGUAAAGGAUUCGUUCUUCAGUGUUCUGUGUAUUUUGCUAGCCACGAGGAAAUGUCCGAGCCCAAUAAAAUUAUACGCUUCAUGAACCUGUUUACCAGCCAAGUGCUAAAGUGGGCCACGGCAGUGUGGGAGCAAGGAGGCAAGCCCACAUCAUCCUACGAACAAUUCACAGAACAAUUUCGCCAUGUGUUUGAUCACACACCUGAGGGGAAGGAGGCUGGAAAGCAGCUGCUGGAGAGCAGCUGUCACAAGGCUCAUGCCAUGUAGCAGAAUGUGCACUCGAAUUCUGUACUGUCACAGCUGCGUUUCAUCUUGGUCUCAAUCCGGAUGUGCUCAUGGAGAUGGCGUGCCACGAUGAACCACUCACCCUUGAAUCCCUGAUUGACCUCGCCAUCUGAUCCACAGCCAUCGCCCCUUCCAGGAGACAGGGAGCUCUCUGCAUGUCAACCUCUCGCUUAAACCCAUGUAACUGGCAGGUACCACGCUCAGUGAGGGAGAAAGGGAGAAGUGACAUAGUAAGCACCACUUCUUCUACUGCAGAAGCAAAGAACGCCUCACCAGGCUAUGCCCACUACAUGCCAAGCCCCCAGCCAGGUUGGACCCUUCCUCUAGAGGGAGCUGCACUCCCUGCUUCAACACACAUUAAUUGACUCUGGAUCAGCAGGGAACUUUAUCGACGAGGACACGGUCGCCCACCUGAACAUCCCGACACAGCCACUUCCACAUCCUAUGAAUGUCCAUGCCAUUGACAGGGGGACCCAUUGGGCAGGGCACUAUCACUCACACAACAUGGCUCUUGAUUCUCCAAGUCAGUGCUCUCCAUAAGGAACAGAUUUCCCAAUGAUAUUGGGAACCGGGAGCUCUAUCUAUCUAUCUAUCUAUCUAUCUAUCUAUCUAUCUAUCUAUCUGUUCAACUCUACAAGUAUUGGCACCCUAUCUAUGUAUCUGUCUGUCUGUCUGUCUGUCUAAUCAAUGCCACAAUUUUGGCACCGUAUAUAUCUUUCUAUCUGUCUGUCUGUCUGUUUGUCUGUCUGUCUAAUCAAUGCUACAAUUUUGGCACCGUAUCUAUCUAUCUAUCUAUCUAUCUAUCUAUCUAUCUAAUCAAUGCUACAAGUAUUGGCACCCUAUCUAUGUAUCUAUCUGUCUGUGUAUGUAUGUAUGUGUCUAUCUAUCUAUCUAUCUAUCUAACUAAUCAACUCUACAAGUAUUGGAACCCCGACGUAAUUUCCAUUCAUUCUCCAUUCAUUUUUUUUCUUACAUUGGUGAGCCAGCCAGGAUUUUCUGGAAAAAAAAAAUCAGGGAAGGGUAAGAGAAAACUGUUUUCUUUCUUUUAUGCUGUUUUUUGUCAGGGAACCCCCUUGUUUAAAAAAUCUAGAAAAGAAAAAUCCUAAGGGCAGAAGAGAAUUUAGUUUAUUCAGUAUUAGCAGGAGGAGUUAUUAAGCCUAUUCUAUACAAAUUCUGUUUAAGAUUCUAACGGAACUCAAUCAACUUGACAUAGUGUGGUGGCAGAGCUGUAUCAGAUCUGUUAUUUCUAAAGUAACUGAAACAAAGUUGAAGUUUCUAACGUAACUGAAACUGGCUGUUAAGUUGUUCUAAUUCUGUUGGAAAUUCUAAUGAAACUGAAUAGACCCGACGCAGUGUGGUUGCAGAAUUAUUUCUGAACUGUAACAGAAUCUUUUAUAGUAAGUCCGAUGCACUGCGGCAGUGUUAUACUUUAAACUGUUUAUAAAUGUUAUAGUUGAACAUUUUGAGGCCUGACGGAGUGUGGCUGUGUCCAAAGCAGUGAGACAGAGAAGUUCAGAAACCUAACAUGGUGCUGAUAUUUCUAUUCCUUAGUGUACAAAGUACAGGAGAAGUGAAUAAAUAGAUUUACGUAUAUCGUAAAAUAACUAGAUAACGUGUAAUCACUGAGAAGGAAAUUGUGAACAACUAUUGAAUUACGACACCUAAUUCAAUAAUAAUUAAAAAUGGAAAAGAUGAUUGUCAAAUACAUCACCAAUCAUGGAUCACAGGGUGUGUGUGAUGGAAUAGAGAACAUUGUUGAUAAGCCGUAUGAAUGGGCUAUCUCUAAGUUUGAAACCUAUCUCAAAAUGCCCAAGAACAAAAAAGGGAUUGUAAAUAUUGCUGUUGGAGGCCAAUGCAAUGAGUGGUUAGUUGAUUCUGGUGCUUCAUUAACGAUUCUCCAUUCAGACAAUCCCCCACAGAAAAGCAAGAAAACAAUAAUACUAGAAGGUUUUGAUGGAACAAUUUCUCUAGCCUCUCAGACAGAAAACAUGUCAUUCCAAAUUGGCAAAGAUGAUUUCAAAGACAAAGCCUGGCUCAACAGAACUGGUGAUGGUCGCAGUAUCUUAGGCUUAGAUAUUAUGACUAAGUGUGGUUAUAUUAUUGACUAUGAUAAUAACUGUAUUUGGUGCAAUCCUCAGAGCGAAGACAAAGUUGUGGAUAUUUUAACUGUACAUGCUGUGCAUGCAGUUAAAAAAUCAUUAUGACUUAGGAUUAUGACUUAGAUACAUUGUUGUCAGUGGAAGAUUCUGAGAUCUCUAACCUGGUUGUUUCUUUAGACAAAGCAUUAAUUGUUGGAGACUUUAAUAUUCAUUUUGAUAAUCCAGAAGACUCUCUGAGAACAGCAGUUGUGUCCAUACUUGAUUCUGUAGGGGUUAAUCAGAAUGUAAUAGGACCCACUCAUAGUGGUGGUCACACUCUUGAUUUAAUAUUAACAUUCGGAUUAAAUAUAGAAAAUAUAGUCUCAUUUCCACAGUCUGAAGCUAUCUCAGAUCAUUACCUCAUCUCAUUUAAAAUGUGUCUUAAUCAUAAUACAUCACCAUGUCAUACGUACUUUCACGUCAACAACUGCACAGAGUUUUAUCAGUAAUCUCCCAGAUUUACUAACCAUGAUUGGAUCACCAAAGAAUCCCAAAGAACUUGACCAGGCAACUGAAUGCUUAGACUCAACGUUCUGCAACUCGCUAGAUAAGGUAGCUCCACUUAAAAGAAAAAAUAAUUAGGGAGAAAAGGCUAGCACCCUGGUAUAGCAAUCACACACGAACUUUAAAACAGACCACUCGAAAACUAGAAUGUAAAUGGCGUCAAACUAAAUUGGUAGUAUUUCAAAUAGCAUGGAAGGAGAGCCUUUUGAGCUAUAGAAAAGCUCUUAGUGCUGCUAGAUCAGUGUAUCUUUCCACCCUAAUUGAAGAUAACAGAAAUAAUCCUAGAUUCUUAUUUAAUACUGUAGCAAAAUUAACUAGGAAUAAGACCACAAUAGAAACACGCACACAAUCAUUAUAUAGUAGCGAUGACUUCAUGAAUUUUUUCAGUGGUAAGAUUGAAAACAUCAGGCUAGAAGUUCAGACUAUUAAUUUAAAACCGGACAGUUCUAUAACUAACCCUGUAGAUGAUAAUAUGAUAAUAUUAGAUAAACAACUACGCUUUACUCCCCUUGAAGAGAAUUUCAUCAUCAAAAUCAUCAACCUGUAUGCUAGAUCCUUUACCUACUUGUUUCCUCAAACAGAUAAUUCCUGAAACAAUCAAACCUUUUUUAAAGAUAAUCAGUUCUUCCCUUAGCAUUGGCUAUGUACCUAAAUCUUUUAAAUUAGCAGUUAUCAAGCCCCUGAUUAAAAAACCUGACCUUGACCCCUGUCAGCUGUCUAACUAUAGACAAAUAUCAAACCUCCCCUUUAUUUCCAAGGUCCUAGAAAAUGUUGUAGCACAGCAGCUAUGCUCAUACUUACAUAGGAAUAACAUUCAUGAAAUGUAUCAGUCAGGAUUUAGGCCUCAUCAUAGCACAGAGACAGCACUGGUAAAAGUUGUAAAUGACUUACUACUGGCCUCUGAUCAGGGUUGUGUCUCCUUGCUGGUGCUGCUUGACCUUAGUGCAGCUUUUGAUACCAUUGAUCAUGCUAUUCUCCUCGAUAGACUAGAAAAUGUAGUAAGCAUUAAGGGAACAGCCCUUUCCUGGCUCAGGUCUUAUUUGACUGAUCGUUAUCAGUUUGUAAACGUAAAUGGUGACUUCUCUUCUCAUACUAAGGUAAAGUUUGGUGUCCUGCAAGGCUCUGUUUUAGGCCCACUGCUCUUUUAUCUAUAUAUGCUACCUCUGGGUAAAAUUAUCCGUAAGCAUGGUAUUAGCUUCCACUGUUAUGCUGAUGACACAUAGUUGUCUGUUUCAGCAAAGCCAGAUGACAGACACCAGCUUAAUAAAGUUGAGGAAUGUGUAAAAGACUCAAGUGGCUCCGUUGGUUGUUUUUGCAUGCUGACUGGCGUCUGCUGCCCUCUACCUGUGUUGUGUUGGGCACAGGUAAAACAGCUUGAACAAAAUUUUUGGGAGAAAUUAAUGAACCCUUUAGUAAACCAGUGUUUGUUUACCUGGGAGACCAUCCAUUCUUUUGACAGGUGGUCAACUCCAUGUGUCAACCUAACAUAAAAAAGAAACAAACAUUUUGGAAGACAGGGGUUACCAUUAGGCCCAUACCAAAUACCAUCCUUGAAGGUGGCUUGUGCCCACUUCCAUUGUUGUUUGUCUUCCAGGUUGGCCAUGCUCUGUAAAUCAUGCAGGUUUGUUGAAGGCGUUAGUUCUUGUGGAAUGCUAGUGAGUUGACAAGAGGCUGUUGUGGUUAGCUUGGCUGGAUUUUUGGCAGCUGCAUCAGCUCUUGCGUUACCUAGAGAUAUAGGAUCUUUGUUGUUAGUGUGAGCCUCAUAUUUGCAUACUGCAAGCUAUUUUGGGAGUAGCACGGCCUCAAGAGGUUCACUAAACAAUGAUGUGCUAUCUGUUUGUCUCUGGAUGCGAGAAAGUUUAUUUUUUUUCCAUAGUGUACCAAAAUGACAUUUAACUCCGAAUGCAUAUCUACUAUCUGUGUAGAUAUUAACUGAUUUUCCUUCAGCAUGCUUGCACUUCUGUUAAAGCUUUCAGCUCAGCCUGCCUGUGCAGAGAAGUUGGAUGGUAGUCGUUCUGCUCUAACUGUUUCAUAUUGGGAAACUACUGCAUACCCUGCCUGUAUUUUGGGUCAUAUGGCUGGGUCACAUGAGGCUGAGGUUUCCACAAACAGCUCCAGAUCUGCAUUGGGCAAUGGAACUUCCCGUAAGUCAGGCCUAGGACUGCAAACUUUGGUUAUUGCUGCAGCAUAAUCAUGUGGUUCACCAUCAACCUCUGUUGGAAGAAGAAUUGCAGGGUUUUUAUAAUGUGAAGAAAAAAUCUGCCAGAGCUUCACUCUUACCUCAACUCCUACACUACACAUUCACCAUCCCCCUUCUCUUCCACAAUGCUCCAGACCAUCUCACAAGACCUCCUCCCUUUCAUCACUACUUUGAUUAAUGGCUCCAUAACAACUGCUUUCAAGAGAGCAAGGGUUCUUCCCAUCCUGAAGAAACCCACUCUGGAUCCUGGAGCUAUCGACCGGUAUCACUUCUGUCUUUUCUUUCUAAAAUCCUUGAAUGCUUCCUACCUGGAGGCUCGGUCAUUCCAGGUGAAAGUGGAGGGGAACCACAUCUGCUCCAUGCAGACUUUCCACUAGUGGCCCAAAAGUCUCAGUACUUAGUCAUCUUCUGUUCUCCCUCUAUACUCGAUUUCUUGGUGAGGUCAUAUCCUCACAUGGGUUUUCAUACCAUUGCUAUGCAGAUGACACUCAACUCUCCUUCCCUCCCUCAGACACUCAGGUUUCUGCUCAGAUCUCAGCAUGUCUGGCAGACAUCUUAUCAUGGAUGGCAGCUCAUCAGCUGAAACUUAAUCCCAGGAAAACUGAAAUGCUGUUCAUCCCAGGUGGUUCAACCCCACAUUGGGAUCUGGUUUAUUAGUGGUAGACAGAUUCUCUAGGUGGGUAGAGGCCUUUCCCACCAACCACAAGUGUUACCCCUUGUCCUGAUGACCAUGAGAUGCUCAAUAAACUGUAAAUAUAGAAAAUAUAGUCACAUUUCCGCAGUCUGAAGCUAUCUCAGAUCAUUAUCUCAUCUCAUUUAAAAUGUGUCUUAAUCAAAAUAUAUGCAGCUUGUCAUGCUACCACAUCAAACAUACAGUCAUGUCAGCUACUGCACAGAUUUUUUCAAUAAUCUCCCAGAGUUACCAACCAUUAUGGAUCACCGUCUGAUCCCAAAGAACUUGAUCAGGCCACUGAAUGCUUAGAGUCAACGUUCUGCUAAACGAUAGAUAAGGUAGCUCCACUUAAAAGAAAAUUUUAAUUUUAAUCUCUCCACCAUAAUUGAAGAUAACAAAAAUAAUCCUAGAUUCUUAUUUAAUACUGUAGCAGUUUUAACUAGGAAUAAGACCACAAUAGAAACGUGCACACAAUCAUUAUAUAGCAGUGAUGACUUCGUGAUUUUUUUCAAUGGCAAAAUUGAAAAUAUCAGGCAGAAAAUUCUGACUAUUAAUUUAAAAUCAGACAGUUUUAUAACUAACCCUGUAGAUAAUUAUAUAACAAUAUCAGAUCAAUGAUUAGAAGAAACUAAUUUCACUAAUUUCUCCUCAUCAAAAUCAUAAACUUGCAUACUAGAUCCCUUACCUACAUAUUUCUUCAAACAGAUAAUUCCAGAAGCAAUUGAACCUUUUCUAAAAAUAAUCAGUGGUUCUCUUGGCUAUGUACCUAAAUCCUUUAAACUAGCAAUUAUCAAGCCCCUGAUUAAAAAUCAUGACCUCAACCCCUGUCAGCUGUCCAACUAUAGGCCAAUAUCAAACUUCCCCUUUAUCUCCAAGAUCUUAGAAAAGGUUGUAGCACAGCAGUUAUGCUCAUACCUACAUAGGAAUAACAUUCAUGAAAUGUAUCAGUCAGGAUUUAGGCCUCAUCAUAGCACAGAGUCAGCACUGGUUAAAUUGGUAAAUGACCUACUACUGGCCUUAUUGUCAUUGUCAGAGUAAGAGUAUAGAGACAACAAAAUGCAGCUAGCUUCCAAACAGUAGUGCAAAUAGCAAAUGAGUUAAAAUGAUGUGACAAAGUUAUGGUGCAAUAAGUUAACAGUGUACAGGUAAAGGUAAACAAUAUGAUGCAUACCAGUAUUGCAAGGGGCAAUUAAGUUAAAUGGAAUAAAUAAGACUUAUGGUAAAGUUAGUUGAGAUAAAUGGUAUGCAGGUAGAGGUAAGCAGCAUGAUGCAUUCAAUAUGAUGCAGUGGAUACAUACAUACAGUGGAUAAAAUUGCAGAUGUGCAAAUAGCAAUAAUGUGCAAAUAACAGUAUGAUAUAAAUGAUAGUAAUAAUGACAGGUAAUGCAGUAAUGUCCAAGUAUUUGCAAAUAAUUGCAGAUAACAGUUGUGCCUAAUGCUAAUGUUUAGUUAUUAGGUGGAGACUGGCAGUUAAUGCUUAGAAGCUGAGUUCAGCAGUAGUACAGCUGAUGGGAAAAAGCUGUCUUUUUGUGCGACAUUGCAGACUUCUGUAGCAUUUUCCUGAUGGGAGAAUGUUUCAAUUGCUUCUGCAUUAUCAAGGUGUCCAUGACAAUACCUCUCACUCGCCGCAAGCAUUGCUUUGGAUAAAUGUCUGAAAUGUUGGGCAACUGUGUUCCAAUGAUGGCAGUUUUCAAUACCCGUUUUAGUGCCUUCUGGUCACACACUGUGCAGUCAAUGUACCAUACUGUGAUGCAGUUUGUAAAGAUGCUCUCAAUGUACAGUGAUAGAAGUUCACCAUGAUCUGAGGAGCAAGGUGAGCUUUCUUCACUCACCUCAAAAAGUACAGGUGAUGCUGCGCCUUUUGAGAAGAGAGGAGGUGUUGAGGUUCCAGGAAAGGUCAGCAGAGAUGUGGACACCCAGAAUCUUGAAGCUAGAGAACCGCUCUACCUCAUCCCAUUAACAAGGAUAGAGGUGUGUUUGUGCAUUCUCAAAGACUUCCAGAAUUCUACAAUCAGUUCUUUGGUUUUCUGGGUGUUAAGGUCGAGGUUGUUAUUGGCACACCAUCUUACCCAAUGCCUCUCAAAGCACUUGGAGAUGGGGGUAAAAGUGACUGGACAGAAGUCGUUGAGCACUGUUGCAGAACCAUGCUUUAGUAUUGGCACAACAGUGGCAGUUUUGAAGGAGGUGGGAACAACUGUUUGGGCCAGUGGUAAGUUAAAUAUAUCUGUGAAAACUUGGGCAGAUCUCUGGUGGAGAGAGACAUCUGGGGUCACCAAUUGGUUGUUGUAUUUUUCUGGUCAAAGCGAGCAUAAAAAGUGUUGAGCUCCUCCAGGAAGGAACAUUCAAUGGUUGAGGGUAUGGUGUUGGCUGGCUUGUAGUCUCUGAGGACCUGGAUGCCUUGCCACAUGCAUCGAGGGUCAGAGUUGUUAAUAUUGUCCUCUAACUGCAGCUUGUAUUUGCGCUUGUCAUCCUGGGUUCCUCGCUUCAGGUUGGCCCUGGAUGCACUGUAAGCUUCUCAGUUUCCAGACCUGAAAUCAGCAUCUUGUGACUUCAGUAGGAAGUUCAUCCAAGGCUUUUGAUUGGGAUAUGUUUUAACAGUCUUAAGGGCAGUGACUGAGUCAACACAUCUGUUAAUAUGUUUCUUUUAUUUCUUCACUACUCAACCCUCCCGCUCCUACUGCUCCAUCCUCCCUGACUGCUGAAGACUUUGCCACUUUUUAUGAUGAGAAGAUUGGAAAAAUCUGCCAGACAUUCACUUCUACUCCUACUCCUACAUAACACACUGAGGAUUCUCCUUCUCAUUCGCUGACACAGUUUUCUAAACUAACAACAGAAGAGAUACUGCAAAUGAUCUUAUCCUGCAAUCCUACCACCUGCCCAUUGAAUCCAAUCCCUUCCACAAUGCUCCAGACCAUCUCUCAAGACCUCCUCCCCUUCAUCACCACUAUCAUCAAUGGCUCCAUAACAUCUGGUCAUGUACCAACCUCACUCAAGAGAGCAAGGGUUAUUCCCAUCCUGAAGAAACCCACUCUAGAUUCCUCUGACAUCAGCAACUACUGACCGGUAUCACUUCUCUCUUUCUAAAACCCUUGAACGAACUGUCUAUAAUCAGCUGUCUUGCUAUCUCUCACAGAACAACCUCCAAGAUCCCAAUCAGCCUGGCUUCAAACCAGCACACUCCACAGAGACUGCCCUUUUGGCCAUCACUGAGAAGCUACAUGCUGCUAGAUCAGCCAGACUGUCUUCAGUCCUCAUCCUCCAUGGCCUUGCAGCAGCAUUUGACGCAGUGAACCACAAGACUCUCUUGUCCACCCUCAUGAGCCUAGGAAUUCGUGGUGCAGCAUGGCAAUGGUUUGCUUCCUACCUGGAAGGUUGGUCAUAUCAGGUGACAUGGAGGGGAUCCACAUCUGCUCCUCGCAGACUCUCCACUGGUGUUCCAUAAGGCUCAGUACUUGGUCCUCUCCUGUUCUCCCUCUAUACUCAAUCUCUUGGUGCGGUCAUAUCCUCACAUGGGUUUUCAUACCACUGCUAUGCAGAUGACACUCAACUCAUCCUCUCCUUCCCUCCCUCAGACACUCAUGUUUCUGCUCGGAUAUCAGCUUGUCUGGCAGACAUCUCAUCAUGGAUGACAGCUCAUCAGGUGAAACUUAAUCCCACCAAAACUGAACUGCUGUUCUUCCCAGGUGAUGCAUCACCAUCUCAGGAUCUUGCAGUCUCCCUAGACAAUUCUCUGAUCUUGCCUUCGGUUACUGCAAGCAACCUUGGGGUAACCAUGGACAAUCAACCGUCCUUCUCCUCUCACAUUGCUAAUCUGACACGCUCAUGUCAAUUUCUCCUUUAUAACAUCAGAAGAAUUCAUCCAUUUCUUUCCUCACAGGCCACACAGGUGCUUGUUCAGUCCCUUAUCAUUUCAAGACUGGACUACUGCAACUCACUCCUGGCAGGUAUGCCUCUGAGCGCCAUUCGUCCUCUGCAACUGAUCCAGAAUGCAGCUGCAUGACUGGUUUUCAACCUUCCUAAAUUUUCGCUCCCUCCACUGGCUUCCUGUAGCUGCCCGCAUCAGAUUAAAACACUGAUGCUUGCCUACAAAGCCAAAAACGGACCAGCACCCACUUAUCUCAAAGCACUUAUCACACCUUGAGCGGCACCACGCUUCCUCCGAUCCUCUUGCACUGCUUGACUGGUCCCACCAUCUCUCAGUGUACAAGGAAGGCAUGCAUCGAGACUCUUCUCUGUUCUGGCAUCAAGGUGGUGGAAUGAACUUCCCCUAGAUGUCCAAACAGCUGAGUCACUGGCAGUCUUCAAAUGAUGUCUACAGACUUACCUCUUCAUAAAGUACUUAAGUUAACACUUUCACACCAAAAAAAAAAACAAAAAAAAACCCCUCCCCAACAGAGUUUUGGACUGAUGGUAUUCCUAGUUUGUGACCUAGUGAGCCAGUAUCAGAAUGUAUUUUUGAUAGACUUCAAAGCACUAUUGUAAGUCGCUCUGGAUAAGGGCAUCUGCCAAAUGCCCCAAAUGUAAAUGUUAAUUCAAUUCAAUUCAAUUUUAUUUGUAUAGCGCGUUUAACAAUGGACAUUGUCACAAAGCAGCUUUACAGAAAUAAAUGGAUUCACAAAAAAAUAUAUUGUAAAUAUGUAAAUUUAUCCCUAAUGAGCAAGCCAGAGGCAAUGGUGGCAAGGAAAAACUCCCUGAGAUGAUAUGAGGAAGAAACCUUGAGAGGAACCAGGCUCAAAAGGGAACCCAUCCUCAUCUGGGUGCAACAGAUAGUGCAAUUAUAAAUAAAUCCCUUCUAUUAUUGUGUACUACAUGGACAAAUAGUGCAAUUGUGCAAGAAGUUUUUGCAAGAAGUCCAGUUGGUUAAAAUCUAUCCACUGUCCACUGAUGGAGUCCUGAGUACGAAGGUGUUCCUGGCAACCGCAGCACCAAAGCCACUACAGCAAUCGCAGGCCCAGGCCAUUACAGUACAGCUCCCAAUAUGUGAUCCCCAAGCCAUUUCCACAGACCCCAGGUGGGACUAUCCCCAGCAAACCAAAUGGUUCUUCAGAUCGUCCAUAUGGGGCCGCCCCCAGCAGCAGCGAGCGAACUCAACCGAUGAGAACUCCAACCAGAAGUAGGGCAUCAGGAUGGGUCAAGCAGAUGGUGAAGAACAGCAUUAGUGUAGAUGUCAAUGUUCGUAUGAGAGUCCUGCAAAUGCACUCCAGUCUGUGUGCUGGAACGGAUGUUGUAAUGAGGAGUCCGCCCCCUCUAGCCAUACUUUCACAGUUCUCACUGAUGUCUUUACAUGUUUCACGAUGGGGGUAUACAUUAGGAGUAGCAGCAGGGAUAGGGGUUCAGAUUGACUAAGGUGGGUGAGGGUGAUGGUUUUGUAAGCUUCAGUCACAUUAGUGUAGACAUGACCCAAAGUAUUGUCACCUCUUGUGGGACAGGAGACAUUUUGGAAAAAUCUCGGAAACGCAGUCCUUAAGUUAACUUGAUUGAAAUCGCUAGCCAUAAUAAAGGCACCGUCUGGACGUUCUGUUUGUAGCUUGCCAAUGCUAGCCCCGAGUUCUUUCAUGGCUCUUUCAUAAGCAUCUGGGGGGACGUACACAGCAGCGAUUAUGGCGCAUGGGAAUUCGCGUGGUAGAUAGAAACGUCUCAAUAAUGUCACUCAAUAAUGAGGUAUUCAACAUCAGCAGAGCAACGUGCCUCAGUAACGGCAGUGUCUGUACUCCAACCUUUGUUUAUAUAGACUCUGCCUUUACCAGAGUCCGCUGCUGUUCUGUCAGCUCUGAAAAAGUUGCAUCCCUCUAGCUUAUUCGCACUAUUUGGAGUGCAGAGGUCUGGGCAAGUUUCAGUGAGAAUCAUAACAUUACAGUCUAUAAGCAUUUUCUGAUAUAUCCAAAGCCGUAGUUCAUCAAUCUUAUUCUCCAGAGACCUUACAUUAGCUAGAAAUAUGCUAGGUAGUGCAGGUCGGUGAGGAUUAGCCUUUAGAUUAACCUUAAUUUUUUUGAGCAGUGUAUAUAUAUAUAUACUGCUCAAAAAAAUUUAAAUCACACAUUGGAUCUUGAUGAACGAAAUAUUCAAGUUAAAAAUCUUUACUUACAUACAUUGUGUAAUUUGUUGAGAACAAAAUGAUGUCACAAUGGUGAAUGGAAGCCAGAGUCAUCAGCACACUGAGGUCAUCAGUCUGUGCUACUUGGUGGCUUCAGAUGCUCCGAUACAUAAUGUCCCAGAGGAUUCAGUUCUGGGGAAUGUGAGGGCCAGUCAAUGGCAUCAAUGAUUUUGUCAUCCGCCUACACACUCUGGCCACAUGAGGCCGGGCAUUGUCAUGCACCAGGAGGAGCCCAGGGCCCACUGCUCAGGUCUGACAACGCCUCUGAGGAUUUCAUCCCGGUGCCUAACAGCAAUAAGGGUACUGUUGUCUAGCAUGUGGAGGUCUGUGCAACCUCCACUUUCACCUUCACUCUCCCUUGAUCACUAUUCCUGCCUCCCCGUGUCUGUGUUCCGCCCAAUCGUUGUCCAGUGUUGUCACAGUGGUGGAGGAUGCGGGCAUGAACACAAACACCAGCAAGAAGAUGGAUCCCAUGUUUCAGGAAUUCCUCCAGACCCACCUUCAGCAGCAGGCAGUGACCCAGGAGCUAGUCAAGAGUCUCCAGGUCGCCCCUCAGGAACUCUUGGAGGUGAGAAAAGGGCCAUCUGCCUGAUUACAUUUGAGUGGGUGGCCCUGCAGGAAAAUUGGCCCAAGGAGCACUGGGCCUCCGCCCUUGCUCUUAUCAUGUGAAUUUUCCUGACGAGGCCAAGCAGUAUGAACUCAUGAAAAAGGAGAUUCUCCUGAGCUGCGGCUUCUCUUCUGCCAGCGCAGUGGCCGAGUUCCACCACUGGACUUACAACUCUAAAGCCACCCCUCAUGGCCAGAUGGACAUGCUCCUGCGGACCACCAGGAGGUGGCUGCAGCCAGAGACACUCUCUGCAGCUGAGGUCAUUGAGAAGGUGGCCAUGGACCGCUUUCUGAGAGCUCAGCCGCCCGAAGAGUGGAAAGCUGUGGGCAUGAGAGGAGACCGGAACCCCCAAGAGAUAGUGAAAAUGAUGGAGCCAGCGGUGGCCACUCUGGAGAUUGACAGGGGCAAACCCAGCCAACACCCGUCUGCCUUUGGAAAUAACCGGGAGGAAUCCAUGCCGACUGUGCCUGACCCCACCGCCCCUCGAUCUGUGGACAAACCCUGGCUCUCCAGAUGUGUACUCCACAAAGAAUUGUUGGUAGUUUCCUGCAGCCGAACCCAGGCCCUCAUGCACCUGGCCCACUUGGACCUGAUGGGGGGGCAUCUGGGGGCCCGCAACACCCUGAUGAAGCUGAAGAACCACUUUCUCUGGCCAGGGAUGGACACGGAGGUCUGCACAUUCUGCCAACAGUGCCCUGAAAUGCCAAAGGACCACCCCCUACAAGCCUGCUCCUGCGCCCCUCAUCCUGUUCCCCAUUAUCGGCGUCCCCUUUGAGAGGAUCGGCAUGGACCUCGUAGGGCCGCUGGCAAAAUCUGCUCAGGGUCAUGAACACAUCCUGGUGAUCAUGGAUUAUGCCACCCAAUACCCCAAAGCAGUUCCCCUGCGGAAGGCCACCUCCCAGAAAAUCGCCCGUGAACUCCUACUACUCUUCAGCUGAGAAGGAAUACUGAAGGACAUCCUCACUGACCAAGGUACACCUUUUAUGUCCAAACUAAUGACGGCUCUGUGUCGGCUGUUGCAGGUGAAGCACCUGAGGACGUCCGCCUACCACCUCCAGACUGACAGGCUGGUGGAAUGUUUCAAUCAAACACUGAAGAGGAUGCUGAACAUAACCCAAGAGGCGUGGGAAAAGCAGCAAUCCCCCUAUUGCUCCCUGGUCGAGUACGUCCAGGAAAUGCAGGAGAGGAUCAACAGGGUGAUCUCCAUUGUCAGGGAGCAUAUGCAGGCUGCUCAGCAAGAACAGAGGAGGACCUCCAAUCAGCCCGCUCAACCCUGCGAGUUCCACCCCGGUGACAAGGUCCUCCUCCUCCUUCCUGACACCUCUUGCAAAUUCCUGGUCUGUUGUCAGGGCCCAUAUACAGUCCUUGAGAGGGUGAGUCCUGUCAACUACUGCCUGCAGCAGCCAGGUAGGCGCACUGAAACCCAAAUAUGCCAUAUUAAUUUGUUGAAAAAGUGGACUGAACCAGCCCCUGUGGUGUUUGCCUUUGUGAGUCUUCCCACAAAUCCCCCAGAGCGUACCUUGGUCCACCAAGAAGAGGAGCUCACCCCAGUGCAGAGCUAGGAGUUGGCUGAGCUGGUGGACCAGUUUGCGGAUGUCUCCUCCUCCACCCUGGGCCUCAUGCGCCUGGUCCACCAAGACAUCAAAACCCCACCAGGAGUCGUGGUGAGACAGCAGCCCUACCACAUCCCGGAGGUCUGCCAUAAGGCAAUCGAGGAGGAUGUCACCCAGAUACUUUGUGAUGGAGUUAUCAAAGAGCCCACCAGAGUCCAACAGCCCCAGGUCCAGCCCCAUUGUCAUUGUCCCAUUGCCCAAGUCUGACAGAAGCAUCCGGCUGUGCAAUGACUUCCGGCAGCUCAACCAGGUGUCUGAGUUCGACAGUUACCCCCUCCCUAGGGUCGAUGCCCUGGUGGAGCGCCUGGGGAGGGCCCACAUCAUUUCCACCUUAGACCUGAUCAGGGGGUACUGGCAAGUGGCUCUGAGCCCUGACGCAAAGCCUAAGACAGCAAUCUCCACCUCCAGCGGCCACGGGUCUUCUCCUUUGGCCUACAUCGGGCUCCAACAAUGUUCCAGCGGCUGAUGGAUAUUGUCCUCUGGCCCCAUCACCAAUAUGCCAUUUACAACGUUGCAAUACACUCCACCACCUGGUCUGACUGCCUCCGCCAUCUCAGGGAGGUCCUGGGUGAGCCCCGGAAGUCCGGGCUAACCGCAAACCCCAAGAAAUGCCAUGUGAGACUCACAGAGGUACAGUACCUGGGGUACUGCAUCUGCCGGGGGCUCCUGAUCCUCAGGAGAAGAAGGUGGAGGCAAUCCAAAGUUACUCACACCAAACCACGAAAAAGCAGGUACGUGCCUUCCUGGGGUCGGCGGGAUAAUAUCGUUGUUUUGUGCCCAACUUUUGCUUGAUUACCUCUCCUGUCUCAGACCUAACUAGGAAAGGCCAAACGGACCGGGUGCACUGGUGUUGGGAGACCAAGGAAGCCUUUGAGAGACUGACAUGCUCCCCCAUUCUUAGGAACCCCGACAUUUCAACCUCCCCUUCGCGGUUCACACAGAUGUGUCGGAGACAGGACUGAGGGCUGUCCUGUCUCAAAUAUUUGAAGGGGAGGAGCGCCCGGUCCUCAACGAAAGCUGACCCCCACAGAACAGAAGUAUGCUGCUAUGUAGAGGGAGGCCCUGGCCAUCAAGUGGGCCAUCAAGGAGCUGCUGUACUAUCUCACCGGCCAACCCUUCACCCUGGUCACUGACCACGCACCCCUGCAAUAGAUGGCCAAGGCCAAUGAUACCAACACCUGGGUAACUAGAUGGUUCCUCUCCCUACAAUUUCACUGUCCAGCACCAAGCGGGGCUCUGCAUGGCAAUGCAGAUGAGCUCUCUCGCCAGUUCGAGAUCCAUGGCCAACCCUUGCCGGCAGUAGUCUCGGAGCUGGGGGGGGGGGGCACUGUGAUGGUGGGCCGGCAGCCCGCGCACAAGGAUCAGCGCUCCUCACACAACUGCCAGCAGGGUGCUGAAUGGACAGCGCCAGUUCAGCACCCCCAUUGUUUUGGACAGUUUGAGUCCGCAUGGCUGUGAGGCGGAGCACAGAAACUUGGCUCGGCUGGUAGCCAAUAAAUGUGGCGGCGCUCCCAGCUCCGGGAUGACCACUCACUCCCCGUCACUUCGCCAGCCCUUUCACUUUCACCCUCCUUUGAUCACUGGACCUAAAUAAAAGCACAAGUUCACCUGUUUCGCCCAAUCGUGG